AGAUUGAACGCUGGCGGCAUGCUUUACACAUGCAAGUCGAACGGUAACAGGCCGCAAGGUGCUGACGAGUGGCGAACGGGUGAGUAAUGUAUCGGAACGUGCCCAGUCGUGGGGGAUAACGCAGCGAAAGCUGCGCUAAUACCGCAUACGAUCUAUGGAUGAAAGCGGGGGACCGUAAGGCCUCGCGCGAUUGGAGCGGCCGAUAUCAGAUUAGGUAGUUGGUGGGGUAAAGGCUCACCAAGCCAACGAUCUGUAGCUGGUCUGAGAGGACGACCAGCCACACUGGACUGAGACACGGCCCAGACUCCUACGGGAGGCAGCAGUGGGAAUUUUGGACAAGUGGGACGCAAGCCUGAUCCAAGCAAUGCCGCGUGCAGGAAGAAGGCCGUUGGGUUAGUAAACGUGUCGUUUUAGGUACCGGAAACGGAAACGUACCGUUAGGUUAACUACCGUGGGACUAAGUGACCGGUAACGUAAGAAUAAGC
rnacentral:rRNA from 1 species